AGAAACUGAACUCAAGUUUGAAGGCAUCACUUGUAUCCUGUGAAAGAGAAACCAAAGAAUGACCAAACCUCUCAGAAAUCAUGUAGUUCCUAGCCGGUCAUCACCUGCUGAUUCCUCUAACCAUGUUUGGGGCAAAAAUAAUGCAGCUGCAAAACUGACUGUGAAUUCCACAAGGACAUAAUGAGCAGACAUGUCUGAGCAAAGGACCAGAAUGCACAAUGGUUGGAGUCAGGUGCCACUGGGGCUAAGUACAUGCUCUCUGUUCUUCUCUCCCAUAGUGAUAGAUUGUCUCUGAUCCUGCCUUGCUGCCUCAUGUAAAUGCCCUGAGCGAAGUGUCAGACAAGAGAAUGGAUGAGUCCACCACCAUUUAUAAAAUCUAAACUAACCUAGAGCCCCUGUGGCUCACUGGAUGGACGUUGACACAGCAGGACAAUGCACCAAGGAAAUUGAACUACUAUGUGUGAAUUCUUUCUCCUGGGACUCAUGGUGAGGUCUAAAGAGCAGCAGUUUAUCUUCACGCUGUUUCUAUGCACGUAUCUGGUGACUAUGAGUCUGAAGGUCCAAAAGAACAUUACCUAUACUGCAAGUCAUCU
rnacentral:lncRNA from 13 species